rnacentral:rRNA from 1 species
AUUGAACGCUGGCGGCAGGCCUAACACAUGCAAGUCGAACGAGUGGCUGACGGGUGAGUAAUGUUUGGGGAUCUGCCCUAUAGAGGGGGAUAACUACUGGAAACUGUAGCUAAUCCCGCAUACUAUCGGAUGACCCCAAGUGGGAUUAGCUAGUUGGUGGGGUAAAGGCUCACCAAGCCGACGAUCCCUAGCUGGUCUGAGAGGAUGACCAGCCACACUGGAACUGAGACACGGACCAGACUCCUACGGGAGGCAGCAGUGGGGAAUAUUGCGCAAUGGGGGCAACCCUGACGCAGCCAUGCCGCGUGAAUGAAGAAGGCCUUCGGGUUGUAAAGUUCUUUCGGUAGCGAGGCGUUAACUACAGAAGAAGCACCGGCUAACUCCGUGCCAGCAGCCGCGGUAAUAC